GAUGAAGAACGUAGCGAAAUGCGAUACUUGGUGUGAAUUGCAGAAUCCCGUGAACCAUCGAGUCUUUGAACGCAAGUUGCGCCUCAAGCCAUUAGGUUGAGGGCACGUCUGCCUGGGCGUCACAUAUCGUUGCCUGAUGCCAGUUUCCUCGUGAUGGGUGACUGUGCAGGGCGAAUGAUGGCUUCCCGUGAGCAUUGUUGCCUCAUGGUUGGUUGAAAAUUGAGUCCUUGGUAGGGAGCGCCGUGAUAGAUGGUGGUUGAGUUACGAACGAGACCCAAUCAUGUGAGACCCCUACCGAAUUUGGCCUUCAUGACCCACAUGCGUCUUUGGAACGCUCAUGACGAGACCUCAGGUCAGGCGGGGCUACCCGCUGAGUUUAAGCAUAUCAAUAAGCGGAGGA
rnacentral:misc_RNA from 1 species